GAUGAACGCUGGCGGCGUGCCUAAUACAUGCAAGUCGAGCGAACAGAUGAGGAGCUUGCUCCUCUGACGUUAGCGGCGGACGGGUGAGUAACACGUGGAAAACCUACCUAUAAGACUGGGAUAACUUCGGGAAACCGGAGCUAAUACCGGAUAAUAUAUUGAACCGCAUGGUUCAAUAGUGAAAGACGGUUUUGCUGUCACUUAUAGAUGGAUCCGCGCCGCAUUAGCUAGUUGGUAAGGUAACGGCUUACCAAGGCAACGAUGCGUAGCCGACCUGAGAGGGUGAUCGGCCACACUGGAACUGAGACACGGUCCAGACUCCUACGGGAGGCAGCAGUAGGGAAUCUUCCGCAAUGGGCGAAAGCCUGACGGAGCAACGCCGCGUGAGUGAUGAAGGUCUUCGGAUCGUAAAACUCUAUUAUUAGGGAAGAACAAAUGUGUAAGUAACUAUGCACGUCUUGACGGUACCUAAUCAGAAAGCCACGGCUAACUACGUG
rnacentral:rRNA from 1 species